rnacentral:lncRNA from 1 species
UUGGUGGUGGGUGGUGGUGGGAGGUGGUCUGAUCCGUGCCCGGGUCUGAGAUGGUGGAGACGGUGGUGGGAGGCGGUCUGAUCCGUGCCUGGGUCUUAGAUGGUGGAGAUGGUGGUGGGAGGUGGUCUGAUCCGUGCCCGGGUCUUAGAUGGUGGAGAUGGUGGUGGGAAGUGGUCUGAUCCGUGCCCGGGUCUGAGAUGGUGGAGGUGGCUGCAGGAUGACAUGGAU